AAAUAUGAAAUUGGAGGGAGAGGAGGAUCUAUUUCCGGUAGUAUCUAUUCAAACUGAACGAUUCAAAGCUCCAGUGCGUCCUUAGGAGUAAAAACAGUUUCCACACAGCACAUUGAGAUUAGUAUUCRCAAACAAGAUCCUGUUGCUGUGGAUAAACUAAAGAGAUCAUCUCUGCUGUGAAGGACUAGCAGUUAAAAGAAAAAGAAAUAAAAAGCUGAGAGGUCGGAUCUGCGUGUCUCAUUGACCUGUUGGAGAGCCCUCGGUGGAGACCACGACUGGAGCUCCGUCGUCAGCAGCAUCCCAUAUCUCUCCUGCGUCUCCCUGUGCCACCCUUGACUUCGGGGCUGAUCUCUUUUCCAAUUGCUGCUUCCUGAGGACCAUCAYGCUCAGCUCCAGCCAUGGUUUUAUACUUCUACUUAUGUAAUAAAACAAUAUUUUUUGAUGUUUGCACUGGAGCUCAUGAACAGCAGUAAAGCAGAGCAGAGGCRGCGCAGCCAGUGCUCCUGCCCCUGCUUCUUCUUCUAGGGGUGUGUGAUGUUCCUAUGUCUGAAAUUUCUGUGUCUGGAACUUCAUGCAUUGAGCAGCUCUAGGAAGGGGCACAAAAAAAAUGCUAUGAAAUUUCA